rnacentral:rRNA from 1 species
AGGGCACCACCAGGAGUGGAGCCUGCGGCUUAAUUUGACUCAACACGGGAAAACUUACCCGGCCCGGACACUGGAAGGAUUGACGGAUUGAGAGCUCUUUCUUGAUUCAGUGGGUGGUGGUGCAUGGCCGUUCUUAGUUGGUGGAGCGAUUUGUCUGGUUAAUUCCGAUAACGAACGAGACUCUAGCCUACUAAAUAGACCAGAGGCUUCUUAAAACACGUCUCUGGCUGCUUCUUAGAGGGACAGGCGGCGAUUCAGCCGCACGAAACAGAGCAAUAACAGGUCUGUGAUGCCCUUAGAUGUCCGGGGCCGCACGCGCGCUACACUGAAGUGAUCAGCGUGCUUUUUGUACCCUGCUCUGCCAAGAGUGGGUAACCCAAUGAACCUUCUUCGUGAUUGGGAUAGGGGAUUGUAAUUAUUCCCCUUGAACGAGGAAUUCCCAGUAAGCGCGAGUCAUAAGCUCGCGUUGAUUACGUCCCUGCCCUUUGUACACACCGCCCGUCGCUACUACCGAUUGAA